rnacentral:rRNA from 1 species
UCAGAAGUGCGAAUGCUGACAUAAGUAACGAUAAAGCGGGUGAAAAGCCCGCUCGCCGGAAGACCAAGGGUUCCUGUCCAACGUUAAUCGGGGCAGGGUGAGUCGACCCCUAAGGCGAGGCCGAAAGGCGUAGUCGAUGGGAAACAGGUUAAUAUUCCUGUACUUGGUGUUACUGCGAAGGGGGGACGGAGAAGGCUAUGUUGGCCGGGCGACGGUUGUCCCGGUUUAAGCGUGUAGGCUGGUUUUCCAGGCAAAUCCGGAAAAUCAAGGCUGAGGCGUGAUGACGAGGCACUACGGUGCUGAAGCAACAAAUGCCCUGCUUCCAGGAAAAGCCUCUAAGCAUCAGGUAACAUCAAAUCGUACCCCAAACCGACACAGGUGGUCAGGUAGAGAAUACCAAGGCGCUUGAGAGAACUCGGGUGAAGGAACUAGGCAAAAUGGUGCCGUAACUUCGGGAGAA